AGGCGAGAGACUCUCCGUAGUGGAUGCACAAGCCCAGCCUGUAUGAGCCGCCUGGAGUCAUUGCUGCUUCGCCUGGCUCCUCGCAAAACCAGGUCAGGAGAAAAGUCAGCCCGGUGACUGGCAUGUGGCAGAUGCCGCACAUCAGUUGAAGCACCGUCUAAUUCGUGAUGAUGAAAGAGCUGGAAUUCUCAGAGUGGAUUCUUCAGACUGAGGUUUGGCUCCUUCUAAAGUCCGGAGCUGGCAGAUAAAAGAGGCGGCUGCUGAAUGAUGGAUGCUGAUGUGGGCCUUUGUGGCGUCGGAAAUGGUGGGGAAGAAAGUCCAGAGCAGGCAGAAAGUUUCCUAAAUCCUUGCAGUUUGGAUGAGCUGGGUGUCUAUUAGCGGGUUCAUCUUUGGCGGCUGAAAGCGAUAAAUCAGACUUAAAUCAGACUUAUUACCCCAAACGCAGCUGAUCAGUGAUGACAUUACGCGAGUAAUGGAACUGCAUGCCUACAUCAUUACACACUUCACGGCGUUGAGUAAUCUGUUUAUGUGGUUUCUGACACUAUGACAUACUAUUAUGAAUAAAAACGUACAUUUUGUACAUCACA